rnacentral:rRNA from 1 species
AGCAGCCGCGGUAAUUCCAGCUCCAAUAGCGUAUAUUAAAGUUGUUGCAGUUAAAAAGCUCGUAGUUGAAUUUCGGGACCAUCAUGUCGGUCGUGCCUCGGUACGUACUGGCAUUGUUGGUUUCUCCCUUCUGACGAACCACGAUGUCAUUUAUUUGGUGUUGUGGGGAAUCAGGACUGUUACUUUGAAAAAAUUAGAGUGUUUAAAGCAGGCUCACGCUUGAGUACAUUAGCAUGGAAUAAUGAAAUAGGACGUUUGAUUCUAUUUUGUUGGUUUCUAGGAUCGACGUAAUGAUUAAUAGGGAUAGUUGGGGGCAUUAGUAUUCAAUUGUCAGAGGUGAAAUUCUUGGAUUUAUUGAAGACUAACUACUGCGAAAGCAUUUGCCAAGGAUGUUUUCAUUAAUCAAGAACGAAAGUUAGGGGAUCGAAGACGAUCAGAUACCGUCGUAGUCUUAACCAUAAACUAUGCCGACUAGGGAUCGGAUGAUGUUAAUUUUUAAUGACUCAUUCGGCGCCUUAAC